rnacentral:lncRNA from 1 species
AUGCCUUCUCCUCCCCACAGGCACGCUCUUGCUGUCAGAUUUCUCUCCCCAGCUAAGACCCUGGUGCUAGAAUCAGGCCAAAAACUAUUUUCCAGUCGAGUGGCUUUUAAUGGGCUCUCCAAGAUUUUUCUUUGCAUCCUACAUAGCAGAACGAUGGCUUGCAUAAAGCCAGAGGGCCAGGCUGUAUGGUCUGGAGCCUCAUGGGGAGUCCUCUAAGUGAAGGAUGAGCCCUGAUCUGCAAAGGAGAUCCACUCCCACUGAACAAACCAGGUUCCUCCACCUCCUGAGGUAAGUCCUGGCAUGGCAGUUUGGGCAUGAAGCACCAUCCUCAUUCUGGAAAGCUCUCCAGCAGCAACAAAAAGAGCAGCGAAAGUAGGUUUGGGAGCUAUUUCUGCAAGGAGGAGUAUUGUGAUCUGUUAGCAGCUGACUUGUUUCCAAACACCUAGCACAUUUUGUUCGUGCACUGUAUUAAAUAGCCUGUAGAAUUUAAUUCCUCUGGGGAAUAAAAAAAAACAAACAACCCA